rnacentral:rRNA from 1 species
GAUGAAUGCUAGCAGAACGCCUAACACAUGCAAGUCGAACGGACUUGUUGCUUCGGUAACAAGUUAGUGGCAAACGGGCGAGUAACACGUGCUUAAUUUGCCCCGAAGAGGUGGACAACUACGGAGACGUAGCUAAACCACCAUACGCUCAUGGGAAUGAAAAUACCAUGAGGAAACGAUUUAUCGCUUUGGGAGAAGGGCGCGGCCUAUCAGGUUGUUGGUGAGGUAACGGCUCACCAAGCCUAUGACGGGUAACCGGUCUGAGAGGAUGUCCGGUCGCAAUGGAACUGAGACACGGUCCAUACCCCUACGGGGGGCAGCAGUGGGGAAUCUUGGUCAAUGGGCGAAAGCCUGAACCAGCGAUUCUGCGUGAAGGAUGAAGCCUCGCGGGGUGUAAACUUCUUUUUGGGGGAAGACGAAUGACGGUACCCCACGAAUAAGGGACGGCUAACUACGUG